CAGUCGCCGCGGUAAUACGUAGGGUGCAAGCGUUAAUCGGAAUUACUGGGCGUAAAGCGUGCGCAGGCGGUAAUGUAAGACAGAUGUGAAAUCCCCGGGCUCAACCUGGGAACUGCAUUUGUGACUGCAUUGCUGGAGUGCGGCAGAGGGGGAUGGAAUUCCGCGUGUAGCAGUGAAAUGCGUAGAUAUGCGGAGGAACACCGAUGGCGAAGGCAAUCCCCUGGGCCUGCACUGACGCUCAUGCACGAAAGCGUGGGGAGCAAACAGGAUUAGAUACCCCGGUAGUCCCUGUCUCUUAUAU
rnacentral:rRNA from 1 species